rnacentral:rRNA from 1 species
AUGCUCGCACUUUCCAUAUGGAUCUGGGAGUGUUUUCCGGUUGGAUGACCGAAGACCGUGAAGUACGAGGAUUGGGACGACAAAAACGAUCCACUACGGCUCCCCACUUGGGCUUACAAGUGGGAUGUGUUAAAUGAGACGACAGAUGAUCCGUUGGUCAUGUACAAGUUGUACAAGAGCGAGAUGGACGCGAUCACGCCUGAGCAGGUGAAUCGACAUUGCAUAACUGAUUAUCAUGCUUCUAUCGUAACUCGAUAUCAAUUUUGCAUUCUAUCCCAUUUUGCAGGUGGAAUGGGAGCCGUAUGGAAAAGGAGAGAGUUUUUGUAA